CAAUGGGCGCAAGCCUGAUGCAGCGACGCCGCGUGAGGGAUGACGGCCUUCGGGUUGUAAACCUCUUUCAGUAGGGAAGAAGCGAAAGUGACGGUACCUGCAGAAGAAGCGCCGGCUAACUACGUGCCAGCAGCCGCGGUAAUACGUAGGGCGCAAGCGUUAUCCGGAAUUAUUGGGCGUAAAGAGCUCGUAGGCGGUUUGUCGCGUCUGCCGUGAAAGUCCGGGGCUCAACUCCGGAUCUGCGGUGGGUACGGGCAGACUAGAGUGAUGUAGGGGAGACUGGAAUUCCUGGUGUAGCGGUGAAAUGCGCAGAUAUCAGGAGGAACACCGAUGGCGAAGGCAGGUCUCUGGGCAUUAACUGACGCUGAGGAGCGAAAGCAUGGGGAGCGAACAGGAUUAGAUACCCUGGUAGUCCAUGCCGUAAACGUUGGGCACUAGGUGUGGGGGACAUUCCACGUUUUCCGCGCCGUAGCUAACGCAUUAAGUGCCCCGCCUGGGGAGUACGGCCGCAAGGCUAAAACUCAAAGGAAUUGACGGGGGCCCGCACAAGCGGCGGAGCAUGCGGAUUAAUUCGAUGCAACGCGAAGAACCUUACCAAGGCUUGACAUGAACCGGAAAGACCUGGAAACAGGUGCCCCGCUUGCGGUCGGUUUACAGGUGGUGCAUGGUUGUCGUCAGCUCGUGUCGUGAGAUGUUGGGUUAAGUCCCGCAACGAGCGCAACCCUCGUUCUAUGUUGCCAGCACGUGAUGGUGGGGACUCAUAGGAGACUGCCGGGGUCAACUCGGAGGAAGGUGGGGACGACGUCAAAUCAUCAUGCCCCUUAUGUCUUGGGCUUCACGCAUGCUACAAUGGCCGGUACAAAGGGUUGCGAUACUGUGAGGUGGAGCUAAUCCCAAAAAGCCGGUCUCAGUUCGGAUUGGGGUCUGCAACUCGACCCCAUGAAGUCGGAGUCGCUAGUAAUCGCAGAUCAGCAACGCUGCGGUGAAUACGUUCCCGGGCCUUGUACACACCGCCCGUCAAGUCACGAAAGUUGGUAACACCCGAAGCCGGUGGCCUAACCCCUUGUGGGAGGGAGCUU
rnacentral:rRNA from 1 species